ACCGCUCCCGCCGCCGCUGGACUUCAAUGCCCAGUCCCCAGCUCGCCAGCGUUUUUCGUUGGAAUAUACGUUGCACAUUUAUGGCGAUUCUGAGCGUGAGGGCAGACUUCUGCCAGGCUCAGCACAGCGUUUCCGCUGACAAGUGAGCUUGGAGGUUCUAUGUGCCAUAAUUAACAUUGCCUUGAACACUCUGGACAGAGACUGGCCUCAGAAAUAGUUGGCUUUUUUUUUUAUUGCAAGCAUAUACCUUUUAAUGACUCCAGUAAAAUUAAGCAUCAAGUAAACAAAAGUGGAAAGCGACCUACUCUUUUAACUUGUCUCACUAGUGCCUAAAUGUAGUAAAGGCUGCUUAAGUUUCGUAUGUAGUUGGAUUUUUUUGGAGUCCGAAGGUAUCCAUCAGCAGACUUUGAGGCCCAAAUUGAAUUUGGAUUCAAGUGGAUUCUAAAUACUUCUGCUUACCUUGAAGGGAGAAGCUUCUUAAAGAAUAAACAAGUUGAAUAGAGAAAACACUGAUCAAUAAUAGGCAUUUUAGUGGUCUUUUUAAUGUUUUCUGCUGUGAAACAUUUCAAGAUUUAUUGCUUUUUUUUUUCAUUUUCCCCAUCACACUCACACACGCAUGCUCACAGUUUUUAUUUGCCAUAAUGAACCGUCCAGCCCCUGUGGAGAUCUCCUAUGAGAACAUGCGUUUUCUGAUAACCCACAACCCUACCAAUGCUACCCUCAACAAGUUCACAGAGGAAUUUAAGAAGUAUGGAGUGACAACUUUGGUUCAAGUUUGUGAUGCUACAUAUGAUAAAGCACCAGUUGAAAAAGAAGGAAUCCACGUUCUAGAUUGGCCUUUUGAUGAUGGAGCACCACCCCCUAAUCAGAUAGUUGACGAUUGGCUAAACCUACUAAAAACCAAAUUUCAUGAAAAGCCAGGUUGUUGUGUUGCAGUGCAUUGUGUUGCAGGACUGGGAAGGGCACCUGUGCUGGUCGCACUUGCUUUGAUUGAAUGUGGAAUGAAGUACGAAGAUGCAGUUCAGUUUCUAAGACAAAAAAGAAGGGGAGCAUUCAGUUCCAAAUAGCUGCUUUACCUGGAGGAAUACUGACCUAAGGUGUGAUUAUGCUUCAGAGAUACCAAUGGGCAUUGCUGCGUUCAGUAGAAAGAAAUGUAUGAGAAGGCUGACUUGAUAGUGGCAUUUAGAGGGAACUCUUGGUACCUGGAAAUGUGAAUCUGGAAUCUUAACUGUGUCAUCAAAGUAGUGAUGGAUUCAGUACUCCUCAACCAUUCUCCUAAUGAUUGGAAAAAA